rnacentral:lncRNA from 1 species
AGGUUGGCCGUCGGGAGCUGAAAUAGAGGCCAGGACUCCUGGCUCCCCGUCCAGACUCUGAGGACCCAGGAGCCUCCAUGGGUACACUCAGAGGCCACACUAGAUGCAAAAAGAACCAUUUACAGAGAAGUGAGAGGUUCUCAAAGGCUCAACCAAAUGCCUCUGCCAGGAGAAUCUUUCAGAGUGUCCUGGAACAUUGGAAAUAGGCUUAAAGCUUAAAUGAUGAAUCAGAAGAGUUAUGCUGUAUUCUAAUGCUGCCACUAGGUGGUCCUGAAAGGAGGAGGUGCUUUGCUUCUCUUUUUCGCAGAUGUCAAUUAUGGAUCAACUUCUGAGUCACAUAGAAGAGCACCAUCAAUUGGCCAUUUCUCACCUGAUCACUGAGGAUAUAAAGUGCUUUUCCAGACUCCAGGACUCGGUUCAUUGCUAGUAUCAGGACGCCUCUCAUGUAUGGGAAGCCAGAAACAUCCCAGGAGCCUCACUGACUGCUUGGGCACAGCCCUCUGAGCAGACCUAUGAAGAAACAGAAGGAUUUGUGCCUUUUAGGUAUCUCUGGUCAAAACAGGUAUUUGAAGUUCUGAUUCUGCUAUUAUCUGGCACCUCCACUUGGCCCAUUGCUGGAAAUAUUAGGACUAGAAAACAUCAAGAUCAGGCACCGAACAGGCAAAUCUCCACUGAGUGGUUCUGAUGUGCAAAUAGCUGAUGAAGACUGGUUAUGGUUAUAAAAUGGAACACAGUUUUCUAAUUACAUAGUGUGUGGGUCUCGUGUGUGUGUGUGUGUGCAUGCAUGUGUGUGCAUGUGUGUGUUCGUGUGUGUGUGUGUGCAUGUAUAUCUAAGGUGCUUCACAUUUAGCUCUCAGCUCUCAGAAUGAGUCCACAUUCUGAGGUAAAUCUAUGGUGUUUGAUACCAACCAAUUUGAGAGAAACAUCUGGUGUCAUUUGCUUUUCUAGAUUCAUUUUUAUAUCUCCAAGACAGAGACACAACAAAGCUUUACUUAGGGCCAACUUAUUCUAAAGUUUUAUUGGUAUCUAGAAGUAGACACCCAUGUCUCUUCCACUUCCUUAUUUGAAUAAAAUUAAGUGGGUCUAGUCCUUACCUUAAUUCUCUCUUAAAAAUGCUCAAGAAAACCAAUUUCAAUAGCUGGGCCUAAAACAAUAUUACAAAACUUGGGUGCUAGGAUUAUAACAAGGAUUUUUCCAACCAGCAAGAAACAAAGCAAGACUUUCAAACAGUUUUAUUAUUUUUUAUCUUUUUAAAAAUUGUAUUGGGGUAAAAUACACGUAGCAUAAAAUUUACCAUCUUAACCAUUUUUAGGCCUACAGUUCAGUGGUACUAAGUACAUUCCUAUUGUUAUACGGCCACUACCACUAUCCAUCUCCAGAAUCUUUUCAUCUUCCCAAACUGAAAUUCUGCCUCCAUUAAACAAUAACUCCCCAGUCCCAUCUUUCCCCAGGCCCUGGAAACCACCAUUCUAUUUUCUGUCUUUAUAAAUUUCACUACUCUAGACAUUUCAUAUAAAGAGAAUCAUAUAAUA